rnacentral:rRNA from 1 species
UCGACGAUGCGUCAUGCAUAUCAAUAAGCGGAGGAAAAGAAACUAACAAGGAUUCCCUUAGUAACGGCGAGUGAAGCGGGAAGAGCUCAAAUUUGAAAUCUUCAAGGUUUUACCUUGACGAAUUGUAGUUUAAAGAAGUGUUUUCUGCUGAAGUUUUGGUAAAAGUUCUUUGGAAUAGGACAUCAUAGAGGGUGAGAAUCCCGUAUUUGACCAUUAUUUUCAGCUUUGUGAUACACUUUCAAAGAGUCGGAUUGUUUGGGAAUGCAGUCCAAAAUGGGUGGUAAAUUUCAUCUAAAGCUAAAUAUUGGCGAGAGACCGAUAGCGAACAAGUACCGUGAGGGAAAGAUGAAAAGAACUUUGAAAAGAGAGUUAAACAGUACUGUGAAAUUGUCAAAAGGGAAGCGUUUGACACCAGUGUUGUUUUCUCGAAAAUCAAUUAAAAAUGGCUCGAUUUUGUAUUGCUUGAGACCUUAAAAGCUCACUGUACAUUUUUCGUGUCUUUUUUAAUGCACUUUUCGUUUAACAAGUCAACAUCAGUUUCUUUUGUUGUAAAAGGGUCAUUGGAAGGUGGCUUUCUUUUCGGAGAAAGUGUUUAUAGCCUUUGGCCUCUGCAAUCGAAGAGACUGAAGUCUGCAGCGUAGACUCUCCGGGGUUAGAUACAUUUGUGCUAAGUUAUAGCUUUUUAUAGACAACUUGUUGACUAUAAUUAGUCUUGUAGCUUACUCGCUUAUGCUAUUUUACCUACGCUUAGGAUGUUGACGAUCAGCUGAGCGCG